GACGGAGGAUGCAAGCGUUAUCCGGAAUGAUUGGGCGUAAAGCGUCCGCAGGUGGCAGUUCAAGUCUGCUGUCAAAGACCGGGGCUUAACUUCGGAAAGGCAGUGGAAACUGAACAGCUAGAGUAUGGUAGGGGCAGAGGGAAUUCCUGGUGUAGCGGUGAAAUGCGUAGAGAUCAGGAAGAACAUCGGUGGCGAAGGCGCUCUGCUGGACCAUAACUGACACUCAGGGGCGAAAGCUGGGGGAGCGAAUGGG
rnacentral:rRNA from 1 species